rnacentral:rRNA from 1 species
UACGAAGGGGGCUAGCGUUGUUCGGAAUUACUGGGCGUAAAGCGCACGUAGGCGGCUUUUUAAGUCAGGGGUGAAAUCCUGGAGCUCAACUCCAGAACUGCCUUUGAUACUGAGAAGCUUGAGUCCGGGAGAGGUGAGUGGAACUGCGAGUGUAGAGGUGAAAUUCGUAGAUAUUCGCAAGAACACCAGUGGCGAAGGCGGCUCACUGGCCCGGUACUAACGCUGAGGUGCGAAAGCGUGGGGAGCAAACAGG